rnacentral:rRNA from 1 species
AUUGAACGCUGGCGGCAGGCCUAACACAUGCAAGUCGAACGAGUGGCGGACGGGUGAGUAAUGUCUGGGAAACUGCCUGAUGGAGGGGGAUAACUACUGGAAACGGUAGCUAAUACCGCAUACCAUCAGAUGUGCCCAGAUGGGAUUAGCUAGUAGGUGAGGUAACGGCUCACCUAGGCGACAAUCCCUAGCUGGUCUGGGAGGAUGACCAGACACACUGGAGCUGGGACACGGUCCAGAAUCCUACGGGAGGCAGCAGUGGGGAAUAUUGCACAAUGGGGGCAAGCCUGAUGCAGCCAUGCCGCGUGUAUGAAGAAGGCCUUGGAGUCGUAAAGUUCUUUUAUAUGGGAAGCGGUACCAUAAGAAAAAGCCCCGGCUAACUACGUGCCAGCAGCCGCGGUAAUAC